rnacentral:tRNA from 3 species
GGGCCCGUAGCUCAAGGGCAGAGCGGCCGGCUCAUAACCGGUUGGUUGGGGGUUCGAAUCCCUCCGGGCCCACCA